CCUACGGGGGGCAGCAGUGAGGAAUAUUGGUCAAUGGGCUCGCGCCUGAACCAGCCAAGUCGCGUGAGGGAGGACGGCCCUACGGGUUGUAAACCUCUUUUGUCGGGGAGCAACGGGGGCCACGUGUGGCGUCACUGAGAGUACCCGGAGAAAAAGCAUCGGCUAACUCCGUGCCAGCAGCCGCGGUAAUACGGAGGAUGCGAGCGUUAUCCGGAUUUAUUGGGUUUAAAGGGAGCGUAGGUGGGUUGUUAAGUCAGUUGUUAAAGUCUGCGGCUCAACCGUAACAUUGCAAUUGAUACUGGCAGUCUUGAGUACAGUUGAGGUAUGCGGAAUGCGUGGUGUAGCGGUGAAAUGCUUAGAUAUCACGAAGAACUCCGAUUGCGAAGGCAGCUUACCAAACUGCCACUGACAUUGAUGCUCGAAAGUGUGGGUAUCAAACAGGAUUAGAUACCCCGGUAGUC
rnacentral:rRNA from 1 species